UACGGGGGGGGCAAGCGUUGUUCGGAAUUACUGGGCGUAAAGGGCUCGUAGGCGGCCAACUAAGUCAGACGUGAAAUCCCUCAGCUUAACUGGGGAACUGCGUCUGAUACUGGAUGGCUAGAGUGUGGGAGAGGGAUGCGGAAUUCCAGGUGUAGCGGUGAAAUGCGUAGAUAUCUGGAGGAACACCGGUGGCGAAGGCGGCAUCCUGGACCACGACUGACGCUGAGUGAGCGAAAGCCAGGGGAGCAAACGGG
rnacentral:rRNA from 1 species